GAAGGACAAGGCUGGAAGCGUAGGGAUAUGGCUGAGAUUAUACGGCCCUGAACUUGAUCUGGAUAAUACCAGCGAAAGGAUCAUGCAUUCCUCCUCCU
rnacentral:ncRNA from 1 species